UACGUAGGACGCGAGCGUUGUUCGGAUUUACUGGGCGUAAAGGGUGUGUAGGCGGUUGUUUAAGUUUGGUGUGAAAUCUCCCGGCUCAACUGGGAGGGUGCGCCGAAUACUGAAUGACUUGGAGUGCGGGAGAGGAGAGUGGAAUUCCUGGUGUAGCGGUGAAAUGCGUAGAUAUCAGGAGGAACACCGGUGGUGUAGACGGCUCUCUGGACCGUAACUGACGCUGAGACACGAAAGCGUGGGUAGCAAACAGG
rnacentral:rRNA from 1 species